UGAGUAACCUGCCCUUAACUCUGGGAUAAGCCUGGGAAACUGGGUCUAAUACCGGAUAUGACUCCUCAUCGCAUGGUGGGGGGUGGAAAGCUUUUUUGUGGUUUUGGAUGGACUCGCGGCCUAUCAGCUUGUUGGUGAGGUAAUGGCUCACCAAGGCGACGACGGGUAGCCGGCCUGAGAGGGCGAUCGGCCACACUGGGACUGAGACACGGCCCAGACUCCUACGGGAGGCAG
rnacentral:rRNA from 1 species